rnacentral:rRNA from 1 species
CACGUAGGGGGCAAGCGUUGUCCGGAUUUAUUGGGCGUAAAGAGCUCGUAGGCGGUUUGUCGCGUCUGCUGUGAAAACUGGGGGCUCAACUCCCAGCCUGCAGUGGGUACGGGCAGACUAGAGUGCGGUAGGGGAGAUUGGAAUUCCUGGUGUAGCGGUGGAAUGCGCAGAUAUCAGGAGGAACACCGAUGGCGAAGGCAGAUCUCUGGGCCGUAACUGACGCUGAGGAGCGAAAGCAUGGGGAGCGAACAGG